AUUCCCAGUACAGCAGGGGUGUGUCUUUCUCCUGGGGUGAACCAGCCUUGGCCUCCCUUUAUUGCCUACUGAGGCAGGCUCUGUGCUUGGCUGCUCACCUCUCCUUCUCUGCCUCAGGCUCCCCUCUCUGGACCAGGGCUCUUCAGACACCAAACUGUCUUCAGGUGGAAGCUCUUGCAUGACCCUCUCUUUGGGUCCUGGGGAUUUUUGUCCCUUCACUGAAUGACACAGAGGAACACAUUUAAUCUCAGUGUUUGCUCUUUCCCACUUUCAGAUCUCAUGGAUCCUGGAUAUCACAUGCUGGACCUUCAUGGCCCAAGCUGAACUCCUCCUGGGACCCAUUCUGUCUAUUGCAGCUGCCAUAAAACCAAUGAGCUCAGAGGCAGCAUUAGUACAAGUGCGGCUUCUGAAAUGAAGGUGAAUCUCUCCCUGUCAAACCUUUAUGUCCUGCAGGUGGAGGAUAUGGGGUUUUGGAGGCCACCAGGAAACGAGCAAGGUGGACAAGCUGGACCAUAUACUAUGAGAUAUUAUUUUCAAGGUUCCCACUGGAAACAUCAGUGCAAAAAGAAUGGAGACAUCCAAACGCAUGGCCGCUUUCUGGGAAAUACACCCAUCCGGGUAGGUGCUCAGCAAGCAUUUGGAGACAUCCGUUCUGGGUCACAGGUGGUUUUAGGCACCAAAAAUUCAGACGUGGAAUAAGCCCAGACACUGAAGGUCCCCAAGCCUGCAAACGAAUGGAAGGCCUCAGAGGGCGCUGAUAGAUACACUGUGGAGAGAUGUUCCAGAGCGCAGUGGAUCUGCUAAGUCGGCUUUAUUCACUUAAGCAGAUAAAAUGGAUUUUGGAUAGAUUCAGUAGAAGACGUGAGGAUUUCUUUUGGAAGUCAGAGAAGAUCUUGAUCACCAAGCUUAUGGGGCAGAAUUGGCUCUGGGCGUUCAAGAACUCUCUGGAAAGCAGCGAUUUAUAGAUUCUUUUUCAAUGAUACCCUCCUCCCUAACCCCAGAAGCCACCUCCCCAUCCAGUUCCUAUGUCACUCUUUUCAAAUUUCAAAUCCCAAGAGAAGGAAACUGAUCGAUCCAGCUUGACUCACAUAUUCUUGAAGCAGUCUGCAGAGAAAGGGCCAUCAUCCUGGGUCAGGCAACCCAUCCUCCAGCAGGGUCAGAAGUUCUGCCAGUAGCAGCAAACCUUGACCUUGAAAGAUUGGUCUGGGCAAAAGGAACAUCUGCAAAUUUCUGGAAGAAUCAAAGAGUGUGGCAUAAUGUGCAGAACUUUGCAAAGCUCUUUGUAAGUUGGAGCAACCAUAGCACAGUGCUGGAGUGUAGACUCUGAAGCCAAACUCCCUGGGUUUGAAUCCUGUCCCCACCACUUUCUAAUCUUCAAAAGUUGGGUUAGUUGCUCAAUCCCUUGGACUUUAGUUCCUCGCCUGUGAGAAGAGAAUCAUAAUAGCAUUUAUUCCAUAAAAUGUAUAUGGAGAUUGAAUGAGACUGAUGCAUAAAAAGGAUGUGGAUCAGUUCUGGUACAUAGUAAGUGUUCAAUAAAUAUUAGUUGUUAUUGUCAUGGAUGAAACAUUGAGGGACAACGGGACGGGGAGGACUCCAUCCCUGUCGUGCCAGUCAUCUCCAAGGCACCAGAUAUCCGUUGGAGGGUGGGAAGAAAAUAACAAGGCCUUUAUUUGAUUUUAGUUCUUAUUUUGAAAAUGACAAAGAAAUUAAACUUUGCUAGUAUUUAAUAAAUGAAGGGACACCAUUACCCUCAAUUAUCUACUCAUUAGACACCGAGUGUCUCUUAGGGUGCAUAAGGCCUGCCAAGGACAGAGUGGGAGUCUCCACCUGAACCCACACAGAGGGCUGCAAAGAUAGCUCCUGUGCUUUCAGUCUAAGGAGCCACAUAGCAGUCGCAGGGGCUGGCAGAGCAGAAUAUUGUAAGCCGGAGAUUCUUUGGAUGUUUGUAAUGAGAAGAGCAGUGAUCUUGCACUGCCCAGAGGGUCUCUGGCUAGCUUGUUGAACUUAACAAUGAGACGUAUAAUUUUCUUUUACAAAAAGACGAGUUUUCCAAAUUUGCUGACCUUUCCCGUCAUGACAGGUAGCUGUUGCUAUUAUAUGCUUUCAAAAAAAGUAAAUAUCUGUAACCUGCCCUUUUGAGGUAAAGGUGACAUUUUUAACAAUGAGUGAGAAAGGGACUGCUUUGGGAAGAGGCUUACAUGAGAGAAAGAGCAUUUAAAAAUGGGCGUUUGAAGUGUUUCCACCAUUAUGUGAUCUUAUUGCCUAAAAUACUGUCAGUGUGUCACUUGUAAAAACUGUCAUAUCUGUAUUCUAUGAAGACUUGGAAACGGAAUUUUCUAAGGUGUUAAAAAAUCUUCUAAAUAAAGAAUUCUAGAGCGUUCUGAACACAUUUGUUCAAAAUAUAAAAAUGCCACACCUUCUGAUUUGUUUGCAAAAAAAAAAAAAGAUUGACAUGUGGAAUAUGGAAAUCUACUAGGCAAAUGUCCACAAUGUCUUUUGUAUAAUUGGUAGUUACUGAAAAAUGAGCCUAAUGUGUAGAAAGUGCAGCCAAUAAUGUAUAUCUUCUGUGUUUACUCUCCAUGUCUCUGGAAUGCCUCACAGCCUGUCAAAUCUAGAAAAACCAUGGACAAAAUAAACACCCUUUCAACCUGAUUUCAAAUGAUUCUAUAAAAAAGAUAGCCUAUGUUUUUUUUUUUUUUUUUUAGCCCUCCAGUUCUAGGGAUUGAACCCAGGGAUGCUCUACUAUGGAGCUGUAUCCAGUAAUUUUAUUUUUUAUUUUGAGAUAGGGCCUCAUUAAGUUGCCAAGCCUGGCCUCAACUUGUUACCCUCCUGCCUCAACCUCCUGAGUCACUGGCAAUAUAGGAAUAUGCUAUUGUUCCUGCCUCAACCUAUGAUUUUUAAAAGCAAUGAAGUAUUUACAAUGAAUAAUUACAUUGAUCUCAUUCUUUUAGCUAAUGACUGGACAUUUUUAUUUAUAAAGUCUAUUUACAAUUUUCAA